rnacentral:rRNA from 1 species
GUAAACCUUUUUCCUCAAGUAAAAAGACAGUGACGGUACUUGAGGAAUCAGCAUCGGCUACCUCCGUGCCAGCAGCCGCGGUAAGACGGAGGACGCAAGCGUUAUCCGGAAUUAUUGGGCGUAAAGCGUCCGCAGGUGGACAUACAAGUCUGCUGUCAAAGUGCAGAGCUUAACUCUGUAAAGGCGGUGGAAACUGUAUAUCUUGAGUAUGGUAGGGGUAGAGGGAAUUCCCGGUGUAGCGGUGAAAUGCGUAGAAAUCGGGAACAACACCAGCGGCCAAAGCCCUCCCCUGGGCCAUAACU